AUAGUGUGAUCAAUGAGAGUGGUCCUCACUGAAAAGAGAACAUUUGGUCAAAGACUUAAAGGUUUCUCAGUGAACUGUGAAGCAAAGUCAUCAGCUGAAAGUGAAGAUGUGGUGUGGAGGCAUGGAGGCUUAAGGAGACACCAUAUGAAAUAGUCCUUGGGCAGUGGAGAAAGGAAUGCAGCAGGAACGGUUGCUGGGCAGCAUGCAGGACCUCCUCCAUUCUUUCUUGCAUAAAUUGUAGAUGCAGUGAUGAAGACUAUAGCAAGCUUGCAAUCACACCAAAACAAAUGUGAAAACAAAAGCUUCAUAUGAAUGAACAGAAAAGAAACUUUAAUUUCUUUCAUGUUUUGGAGCCAUUCUACUUUUCCUUUACUAACUUCUGACUUCAUGAUAUGUG